rnacentral:rRNA from 2 species
UUGAUUGGUGCUUGCAUCAUGAUUUACAUUUGAGUGAGUGGCGAACUGGUGAGUAACACGUGGGAAACCUGCCCAGAAGCGGGGGAUAACACCUGGAAACAGAUGCUAAUACCGCAUAACAACUUGGACCGCAUGGUCCGAGUUUGAAAGAUGGCUUCGGCUAUCACUUUUGGAUGGUCCCGCGGCGUAUUAGCUAGAUGGUGGGGUAACGGCUCACCAUGGCAAUGAUACGUAGCCGACCUGAGAGGGUAAUCGGCCACAUUGGGACUGAGACACGGCCCAAACUCCUACGGGAGGCAGCAGUAGGGAAUCUUCCACAAUGGACGAAAGUCUGAUGGAGCAACGCCGCGUGAGUGAAGAAGGGUUUCGGCUCGUAAAACUCUGUUGUUAAAGAAGAACAUAUCUGAGAGUAACUGUUCAGGUAUUGACGGUAUUUAACCAGAAAGCCACGGCUAACUACGUGCCAGCAGCCGCGGUAAUACGUAGGUGGCAAGCGUUGUCCGGAUUUAUUGGGCGUAAAGCGAGCGCAGGCGGUUUUUUAAGUCUGAUGUGAAAGCCUUCGGCUCAACCGAAGAAGUGCAUCGGAAACUGGGAAACUUGAGUGCAGAAGAGGACAGUGGAACUCCAUGUGUAGCGGUGAAAUGCGUAGAUAUAUGGAAGAACACCAGUGGCGAAGGCGGCUGUCUGGUCUGUAACUGACGCUGAGGCUCGAAAGUAUGGGUAGCAAACAGGAUUAGAUACCCUGGUAGUCCAUACCGUAAACGAUGAAUGCUAAGUGUUGGAGGGUUUCCGCCCUUCAGUGCUGCAGCUAACGCAUUAAGCAUUCCGCCUGGGGAGUACGGCCGCAAGGCUGAAACUCAAAGGAAUUGACGGGGGCCCGCACAAGCGGUGGAGCAUGUGGUUUAAUUCGAAGCUACGCGAAGAACCUUACCAGGUCUUGACAUACUAUGCAAAUCUAAGAGAUUAGACGUUCCCUUCGGGGACAUGGAUACAGGUGGUGCAUGGUUGUCGUCAGCUCGUGUCGUGAGAUGUUGGGUUAAGUCCCGCAACGAGCGCAACCCUUAUUAUCAGUUGCCAGCAUUAAGUUGGGCACUCUGGUGAGACUGCCGGUGACAAACCGGAGGAAGGUGGGGAUGACGUCAAAUCAUCAUGCCCCUUAUGACCUGGGCUACACACGUGCUACAAUGGAUGGUACAACGAGUUGCGAACUCGCGAGAGUAAGCUAAUCUCUUAAAGCCAUUCUCAGUUCGGAUUGUAGGCUGCAACUCGCCUACAUGAAGUCGGAAUCGCUAGUAAUCGCGGAUCAGCAUGCCGCGGUGAAUACGUUCCCGGGCCUUGUACACACCGCCCGUCACACCAUGAGAGUUUGUAACAC